UGACGGUCCUUCUAUUUUACCUUCCUACUUACUUACUAUAUAUAUAUACUUUAUCUUUUUGGUCUACAGUCGUUAAAAAACAUCCUACGUAUAUAGUGAUUAUCUUAAAGGGCUUUUCAACUUCUUAACCCCCUGUGAUCUUUCUACCCUCGAAACAUAAAUUCCAAAGGCGAUCGAGAGAUUUCUACAAAGGUUCGUUCAAUCGUCGAAGGUCCGUAAGCCCCCAAAAGUCGUUUCGAUGCCGAAGUGAUACAUCGUGCGAAAAAGUUUCAACCCUCGAGAAAAGAGAAAAAGAUCGAAGGGUUGGUUCAUCAUAGAACUAGGAUCAUCAUGGCCCUUUCGUGGACAAGAACAAGGCAAUUCAACACUAACUUUCACCUGAAGAAGUGACUACAGCGACAUGUAUGGGAAAAGGGAGCACGGUCUGAGCCCACAAUGGAUCCUAGAGAAAUAAGCGAGAGAAACUUGCCGGUGAUGGAGUUGCGCCAAGUUCCGGACGAAGGAAAAGCAGCAACGAGCACAGAUUUCUAUCACGAGUUGCAUUCUACUGGAAUACGGCGAAUACGCGCAUCAAAUAUUAAUAUAUUUUCUUUCGAAGCAUUCAAGCUUCUUAUUUAUAUAUGAGCCUCUCUCAGUUGACAAGUGAAUCAAGUACACUUUUCUAGUAUAUUGAAACUUUUACGAAAUAACUGUACAAACAAUUAGAAACAUAAAAUGUAACUUUAUUAUGAUAGAAUUAAUUGAAAUUGUGGUAUUUAUAAUAAUAUAACAUAAAAUAAAAAAAAAAAUUGUGAAAUGUGAAAUAUAAAAGUUGUUCGAUUAAAAAGAUCACGAGACAUACGAGCAAAUAUAAGGGAGGAAUUAUUUGUCGGGCAUCGACGUUGAAGAACCAAAGGUGACCCAUCAUAUUGCGUCAUUUCAAGCUGGGAGGUAAUCGUGGGCGAACUAUACUCGUCGUGGCUAAAAUAACGUGUAGGAGUGCUUGUUAGAAAUAGUCAGACGUGAUUAAUUCGAACCGAGUCUGCUAAGAUUUCGUUCAUCUCACUGUCUACAUCUUAUUUAAAUCAUACGAAUAUCAAGUUUCUUUACUUUCCUAUUUUUUUAAAUAACUAUCCACAAUAUUUAUUUCAUCCUCUUUUAUGUUACUAGAAAUGUCGUACUUUUGUAUUUAUUUUCGUUCGACUAACGAGCUUACUAUUUAAAUUGAAAAAAUUUGUAAUUUUAAUUAAUGUUUCGAAUACAUGUGGAUAUUUCCAUAGCACAGAUCCAAAAUCAAAUCGUUUAUUUCCAGUAUUCUCUUGGAUGAUAAUGAUACAACAACGUUCUCUUUUACUCGUCCCAUAGUCAAGAUAUGUACACGUAUGCAUAUAAAUACCUAUGUACCUAUUAACGAUCGCAUUAGAAAUUCGAAGUAGAUAGGAGGCAAUGGUACGAGCCCAAACGAGUCCAGCAUCGAAGCUAGUGGAGCAACCCUAUAUAGGAUGCGACCGAGUAGUGUAAGCACUUAAUAUACGCAGCACCGUUUUCUCAUCGAUGGAUGCGAACCAGUCGUGCAGACAGCUAAUUGAAAAUUACAAUAGAACACUUCUCGAUAAAGUUACAACGAAUUUGAUUCCAGGUAUAGUAUUUUUAUAGCAUAAAUAUUUUAUCUUCGUAGAUAAAGACAUUUACAUUUUACGAGUCACAUUGAUAUUCAGAUUAUAUUUAGGUAAGGAUAACGAGAGAUAGAAAUAAUUAUGGCGACCUAGUCACAAAUGUUUUCAACGAUUAUUCGUGAUCGUUCCUAACGAAAAUGCGAUAGUUUUUAGACGAUGAAACAACAUUAAACUGCUACCAUAUCUACUUCUCUAUUCUAGGCUUUUUAGCGCAACGCUGGAACGAAGAAACUUUGAAUUCCAGACGUUGCGUGUACUCGAGCUCGUUCAACUCUGCAUUACGACUUUUCUACACGCAAACGUUAGGACGACCGUCCUAACCGACCAAUUUUCUCUCUUGUGUUUCCACGCUCAUCUUUUACGUCGUUAUCGAGUACAUUAUGCAUUGCAUCCGUUAAUGAAAAUCACGUUGUUACACGGUCCACCCCUCUCUCUCUUCUUUCUUAUACUCCACUUGUAAAUACUAGGAAAGUGAGAAACUUCGGUAGAAGGGGAAAAGAAAAUUAACGCUGGCGUUGAAACAUAUUUUUUGAGUGCUAAAGUUGGAGAAGUUGUAAUACAACUCUACCCACUUCUCGUAUUUCUUUGCUGGUAAGACUAAUAUUGGGAGGAUUUGUAAACGGUAGUUAGUGAAAUUCAUUUUCAAGAGAUACGAAUGCACUAUCUGGAAGAUUAAAACUUAAAUAAUUUUAUGUGCAUGAGAAUUAACCGUAUAGAGUUAGAUAUGAGGUUUAUAUGGGAGCAGAAAUGUAUAUAAAAUAAAAAGAAGAGAAGAACGAAGAAAUGACGAAUAUUUGUUAGGGGGAUUUAAAAUUGCAAAACCCAUGCACAUAUACUGGCGUUGUAUAUAUACGAGCCAAAGAGAAAGAAAAAGUAAGAAAGGGAAUGUCUCAGUUAUACACCCCUUAUAUAGUAUCAAAUAAAGACGAAUUCACGUUAUACCUUUGGUUUGGAAAUAAAUCAUUUUAAAGGAUCCGGAAAACGGAAAUAGAAUUCCAACGAGAUUAAAUUUACAGGAAACAGCAGAGGUAGCAUUAUGGGUAGAGGUUAGCGACCUCUUGACCUCGUAGCUCGUUAUUUCGACACUUUAUGAUUCUCCCAAGCGGUGUUUCGAUCGAACGAGACACGGGUUGUCACGGGUCAAACGUUUAGAGUAUAAUAGCGUAUCUAAUAAUUUGACAAAAAUUCACGGUGUUCUUCUUCCAUCGUAAUAGGAAAAAAAGAUCGUUUGCGAAAGGGGUAGCGCCAGAGCGGAGUCGUAGGAAGAGAAAAAUCUCGGUCACGUUUUCCAGAAAGAAAUCGAUAGUUCCUUUUCGAUCGUCCGGCAUAGCGGUUUGCGAGAAGGGGAAAGGGAAGGGGUUGCAAUGGAGAGAGCGCAUAGAACGGCAGUCGCAUCAACGGAAUCCGCGAGGAAGGUAGGAAGGAAGGAAGGAAGGAAGGAAGAAGCGCUUUGGCGGGGGGUGAGUUCAGCAAAGGGUCGACUUUCGGUCGACUCUCGGUCGACUCUCGUUCGACUAUCGUUCGACUAUCGUUCGAGGGGUCGGUGUUAUUCGGGUUGGCUCGGGUGGCCGGCGCCUACGUCGGCGUCGACUUCAGCGUUGAGUUCGGCGCCAGCGUCGACGCCGGCGUCCUCCCCUAGCCCUGACGUAGCAAGAUGGCGGCGGCGUGUCGGAGGCGUCUCCGUCCGCACAGUGCUCACCGUCGAGCAGUCCGCGGAUGUCCGUAACAACGUUCCAUCAGCGUAUCAUCGGCGCAUCAGCGGCGCGUCCUCGGCGCAUCGUCGGCGCAUCGUCGGCGUAAUUUCGAUGUUGUUGUUCGCGGGUUCCCAUCGUUCCCGCGUCCUACGGUGCCUUUCCUGUCUCUCCAAGCCGGGGAAUAGUAGCUGCCACCAGCGUCACCAUCUUCAACGACGGCUGCAACCACGGCUGCAACUACGGCUGCAACCACGACGAGGAAGACAAGUCCCUCAAGAAAAGACGAUAUCUCCCUAAAGCCGCGGCCGCUCGAAUAAGUCACCACGAUAUAACGACGAGGACCAAGACUCGCUACUUUAACACGCUACUACGAACGGAAAGAAAGAAAAGCUCUAGCUCUUUUCUGUAUGCGUUUGUGCGUGCGUGCGCGCGCGCGCAUGUGUGUGUGUAUGCAUUUGCCUGUAUGUGUCUGCUGGAUGCGCGUGUGUGUGUGUAAGUGUGUGUGAGGGAGGGAGGUAGAAAAACGGUGUGACUCCUACGCUCGCCCACCACCGACGUCGUUUCUUCUCAUUCUACCGAGCGCGUUUCUACCUUCGUUCUUCUCUUGACUCUCCUCAUCCUUCCCCCACCUCCCACCUGCCUCUCCGUCCAAUCCAACCACCCUCGUCCACCCCCGAACCCUCAACUCCGUUACCCUCCGUCGCCAUCCUCUUUUUUUUUCUCAGGCGGGCACACACGUACGGAAGUGUAGCGAACGUUUGCGAACGAACGAAUACGUGGGGGUACACGGAAAUCCUCGUAAAGUCUUCACGCAUUGGAUAUCUUUCUCAUCUGGUCCCUCUCGAUUUCCUCGCCGCGUUUCUAUUUCCCUAAGGAUUUUCUUUCAGGAAAGUGCGCCGGGUUGAAAUGCGUUUAAGCGAUCGAGGUAGCACGAAACGACGCGAGAGUGGACGCGAGGGUAGACGCGAGGGUGGUCGUGAGGGAGGACGCGAGGGAGGACACGAGAGAGGAGGAAGGUGGUUCGAGGUAGCUUGACGAGCGCACGAGAUCACUAGGGUGCCGCGAGAGCCGGCGUGUUCAGGCCGCCUUUUGCUACUAUGAUAGUAACGAGAAGCUUCUUACGGUGGGCGCUCCUCCUGAAGCGAGCGGCGCUCGGCCGAGUCUCUUCUUCCACCUCCUCCUCAUCCUCCUCCUCCUCCUCCUCUUCAUCUUCCUCUUCUUCCUCUUCCUCCUCUUCCUCCGCUUCCUCCUCCAGUUCGGAGGACGACGUUGGACGACGAUCAAGAGGACGCGAUAAUAAACGAGAGGAAAACGUGCACCGACGGCGAGCGAGCACCAACGAAUCUGUCGCUAAUAAGGCGAUGUUGCGUUUCUGCCCUCGGAAAUCUAAAGAGCAAAACGAUCAUCAGAGAGAUUAUUACGAGAAAGAUUACGAGAGAGAUUAUCAAGGCGAGUGGCCGCCGGCUAACAAGGAUUAUCCGAACGCCGAGCGUCCCAGCGAGAUUCUUCUUCUCCCCAUCGACCUUCAAUCGAGCACGACUACUAGCCGCUAUUAUCGUUUUUCUUCUUCUUAUUAUUAUUACAACAACAAUUAUUGUCGUUGCUAUAGCCGUGAUCGAGCUUUCAUCGUUGACCGAGCGAAAAGCACGCAUCAGAUAUCGAAGGCUAGGAAGUCGCUAAGAUCGAAACAUAAUUCGUCGGGAGCAAGGAUAAAGCACGAGGAUAAAAGCAAGUUUUUUGGUGUCGAUGCACCGGCUUGCGCGUGACCAAGAGCCGGUCCUCGUUACUACUACUUCUAUCAUCACGCUACGCGCCCUAUCAGUCGAAGCGCGAUCAUCCGAACGACCGACACCAACUGUCGUGUCUUUUUACCUUCGUUUUCUCCUUAAUACUUGUGCAAGCACGACCUAAUCGAAUAUCGAACUAAAACUAGCGAUUUUUCUUCCUCGAUUUUACCUCUUCAAUUUCGUUUAUUAUCUCUCUCUCUCUUGUCUAAACGUUAUCGAAACUACACGAGGUGCGUUAUCAUUGCGCCGCGUUUGUACUCUUACAAAAGUGAUGACUUUUCUCAAGGCUGCCCCGUACCGGUAAACGAUAUUCUUUAAAAACGCGAGUGCUGGCAAAAUAUAAAAAGGGACAGGGAGAAAGAGAGACUGAAAAAACACGAUAGACCAUUUCUCUAUUGUAAUUUCUUAAAACGUGGACGCAUUGUCUUCUUAUUGUGUAAAGAGAGAGAGAGAGAGAGAGAAAAGUGAUAGAGAUAGGGUGUAUGAGAGAGAGAGUGUGUGUGUGCAUAGUAGGGAAAUACGAGAGGAACGCCUUCGGAAGUAUCAUUCUUUCUCUUUCUAAUCGCGUUCUACUCUCUUCCAAUCCUCCUCACUCUAUUCGCCUAACUUCCUCGUAGCUACCCCCUCCCCCUUCACCGCCAUAUGCCACUGAAUUUCAAACCAUAGCGUAUAUAUGUUUAUCGUAUUUCCUUUCUUUAUCUAUGACUGUAUAUGUAUGCCUAUGUAUAUAAGUGCACG